rnacentral:rRNA from 1 species
UUGACAUGGCAGGAAGUUUCCAGAGAUGGAUUCGUGCUCGAAAGAGAACCUGCACACAGGUGCUGCAUGGCUGUCGUCAGCUCGUGUCGUGAGAUGUUGGGUUAAGUCCCGCAACGAGCGCAACCCUUGCCAUUAGUUGCUACGAAAGGGCACCCUAAUGGGACUGCCGGUGACAAACCGGAGGAAGGUGGGGAUGACGUCAAGUCCUCAUGGCCCUUAUAGGUGGGGCUACACACGUCAUACAAUGGCCGGUACAAAGGGCAGCCAACCCGCGAGGGGGAGCCAAUCCCAUAAAGCCGGUCGUAGUCCGGAUCGCAGUCUGCAACUCGACUGCGUGAAGUCGGAAUCGCUAGUAAUCGUGGAUCAGCAUGUCACGGUGAAUACGUUCCCGGGUCUU